rnacentral:rRNA from 1 species
UUAUCCGGAUUUAUUGGGUUUAAAGGGAGCGUAGGCGGACGUUUAAGUCAGUUGUGAAAGUUUGCGGCUCAACCGUAAAAUUGCAGUUGAUACUGGGUGUCUUGAGUACAGUAGAGGCAGGCGGAAUUCGUGGUGUAGCGGUGAAAUGCUUAGAUAUCACGAAGAACUCCGAUUGCGAAGGCAGCUUGCUGGACUGUAACUGACGCUGAUGCUCGAAAGUGUGGGUAUCAAACAGGAUUAGAUACCCUGGUAGUCCACACAGUAAACGAUGAAUACUCGCUGUUUGCGAUAUACAGUAAGCGGCCAAGCGAAAGCGUUAAGUAUUCCACCUGGGGAGUACGCCGGCAACGGUGAAACUCAA